GUCCACGCCCUAAACGAUGUACACUAGUUGUUGUGAGGCUCGACCUUGCAGUAAUGCAGUUAACACAUUAAGUGUACCGCCUGGGGAGUACGGUCGCAAGAUUAAAAACUCAAAGGAAUAGACGGGGACCCCGCACAAGCGGUGGAGAAUGUGGUUUAAUUCGACGAUACACGAAGAACCUUACCUGGACUUGACAUAGUAAGAACUUUCUAGAGAUAGAUUGGUGUCUGCUUGCAGAAACUUAUAUACAGGUGCUGCACGGCUGUCGU
rnacentral:rRNA from 1 species